rnacentral:misc_RNA from 1 species
UCCGGUUUGUCACCGGCAGUCUCAUUAGAGUGCUCAACUGAAUGUAGCAACUAAUGACAAGGGUUGCGCUCGUUGCGGGACUUAACCCAACAUCUCACGACACGAGCUGACGACAACCAUGCAGCACCUCUGCUGGCUUCCUUGCGGAUCAGCCUCUGUUUCCAGAGGCUUACUACCAGUAGUUCAAGCCCAGGUAAGGUUCUUCGCGUUGCGUCGAAUUAAACCUCAUGCUCCACCGCUUGUGCGGGCCCCCGUCAAUUCCUUUGAGUUUCAACCUUGCGGCCGUACUCCCCAGGCGGGUCACUUAGUGCGUUAGCGACGGCACCGAGGGGGUCGCUCCCCCCGACGCCUAGUGUCCAUCGUUUACGGCGUGGACUA